AGACUGGGAUAACUCCGGGAAACCGGGGCUAAUACCGGAUGCUUGUUUGAACCGCAUGGUUCAAACAUAAAAGGUGGCUUCGGCUACCACUUACAGAUGGACCCGCGGCGCAUUAGCUAGUUGGUGAGGUAACGGCUCACCAAGGCAACGAUGCGUAGCCGACCUGAGAGGGUGAUCGGCCACACUGGGACUGAGACACGGCCCAGACUCCUACGGGAGGCAGCAGUAGGGAAUCUUCCGCAAUGGACGAAAGUCUGACGGAGCAACGCCGCGUGAGUGAUGAAGGUUUUCGGAUCGUAAAGCUCUGUUGUUAGGGAAGAACAAGUACCGUUCGAAUAGGGCGGUACCUUGACGGUACCUAACCAGAAAGCCACGGCUAACUACGUGCCAGCAGCCGCGGUAAUACGUAGGUGGCAAGCGUUGUCCGGAAUUAUUGGGCGUAAAGGGCUCGCAGGCGGUUCCUUAAGUCUGAUGUGAAAGCCCCCGGCUCAACCGGGGAGGGUCAUUGGAAACUGGGGAACUUGAGUGCAGAAGAGGAGAGUGGAAUUCCACGUGUAGCGGUGAAAUGCGUAGAGAUGUGGAGGAACACCAGUGGCGAAGGCGACUCUCUGGUCUGUAACUGACGCUGAGGAGCGAAAGCGUGGGGAGCGAACAGGAUUAGAUACCCUGGUAGUCCACGCCGUAAACGAUGAGUGCUAAGUGUUAGGGGGUUUCCGCCCCUUAGUGCUGCAGCUAACGCAUUAAGCACUCCGCCUGGGGAGUACGGUCGCAAGACUGAAACUCAAAGGAAUUGACGGGGGCCCGCACAAGCGGUGGAGCAUGUGGUUUAAUUCGAAGCAACGCGAAGAACCUUACCAGGUCUUGACAUCCUCUGACAAUCCUAGAGAUAGGACGUCCCCUUCGGGGGCAGAGUGACAGGUGGUGCAUGGUUGUCGUCAGCUCGUGUCGUGAGAUGUUGGGUUAAGUCCCGCAACGAGCGCAACCCUUGAUCUUAGUUGCCAGCAUUCAGUUGGGCACUCUAAGGUGACUGCCGGUGACAAACCGGAGGAAGGUGGGGAUGACGUCAAAUCAUCAUGCCCCUUAUGACCUGGGCUACACACGUGCUACAAUGGACAGAACAAAGGGCAGCGAAACCGCGAGGUUAAGCCAAUCCCACAAAUCUGUUCUCAGUUCGGAUCGCAGCUUGCAACUUGACUGCGUUGCUGAAGGAAUCGCUAGUAAUCGCGGAUCAGCAUGCCGCGUUGAAGUACGUUCCCGGGCCUUGUACACACCGCCCGU
rnacentral:rRNA from 1 species